UCCGCCAGCAUUGAUGAUGAUGUUUCUGUUCAACCACUCAGUACUCGACUCUGUUUUCUUUAACUAGACGAACAGUUCCGCCUUCGUUCUUAACGAAACACGUUAAACCCAGCAUCGUUUAUUCUGCCCCAUCUGCAGGAAACUCACGACCUCUCUUCCGCUUUUGCGCUUGACAACACGAAACAAAAUCAAAGUCCCCGCCUGCACUUCUUCGCUGUUAUUUUCAUAUGGAUGCAGGACAUAAACUGACAUGAGAGGUUCGGCAAUCUGAAGCGGAAGUUCGUCUCGAGUAGCGCUCCGGAAGCAGCGCGCGUUACCAUGGCGACCGCAGCGCGUCCUGUUGUGAAGACGCAGGAGAGAUGAUCGGACUCUGGCUGUAGAUCAUGCUGUCCAGCGCGCCGCACGCCCGCGGCUUCAUCCACGAGAGCAAGCCGCGGCCCGAGGUGCGUCUCCGCCGGUGUCUCAGUGUUUGUUUCUCGGUGUCUGUCUCUGACUGACCACUGUUUUGCAGGCUGUGAGGGUCACGGAUCUCUCUCGAGUGCUUCAGCUGCUGCGGGAGCCGCUCUCGGUAGUCUCGUCCUCGUUAAAAGAAAGGCAGGUUUUCAUCUUGAAGAAGGUGGUAAAACAAUGCCAGCAUGGAUUUGUAUCCUAAAAGUUUCAUGUAGAUGGGACCAUAGGUGGC
ensembl:lncRNA